GGAAUAUUGGACAAUGGGCGAAAGCCUGAUCCAGCCAUGCCGCGUGUGUGAAGAAGGUCUUCGGAUUGUAAAGCACUUUAAGUUGGGAGGAAGGGCAUUUACCUAAUACGUAAGUGUUUUGACGUUACCGACAGAAUAAGCACCGGCUAACUCUGUGCCAGCAGCCGCGGUAAUACAGAGGGUGCAAGCGUUAAUCGGAAUUACUGGGCGUAAAGCGCGCGUAGGUGGUUUGUUAAGUUGAAUGUGAAAUCCCCGGGCUCAACCUGGGAACUGCAUCCAAAACUGGCAAGCUAGAGUAUGGUAGAGGGUGGUGGAAUUUCCUGUGUAGCGGUGAAAUGCGUAGAUAUAGGAAGGAACACCAGUGGCGAAGGCGACCACCUGGACUGAUACUGACACUGAGGUGCGAAAGCGUGGGGAGCAAACAGGAUUAGAUACCCGAG
rnacentral:rRNA from 1 species